rnacentral:tRNA from 1 species
GCCCGGGUGGCGGAAUUGGUAGACGCGCUGGACUUAAAAUCCAGUGGACUUUUAGUCCGUGGGGGUUCAAGUCCCCCUCCGGGUAC